rnacentral:rRNA from 1 species
UACGAAGGAUCCAAGCGUUGUCCGGAUUUACUGGGCUUAAAGGGUGCGUAGGCGGUCGGGUAAGUCUGAUGUGAAAUCUCACAGCUUAACUGUGAAACUGCAUUGGAUACUAUCCGGCUCGAGGAAUGGAGGGGAGACUGGAAUACUUGGUGUAGCAGUGAAAUGCGUAGAUAUCAAGUGGAACACCAGUGGCGAAGGCGGCCCGCUGGGCAACUGCUGACACUGAGGCGCGACAGCGUGGGGAGCAAACAGG